CAUAGGCUUCAAGCGUUGUCCGGAUUUAUUGGGCGUAAAGAGUUCGUAGGCGGUCAAGUAAGUCGGGUGUGAAAAUUCUGGGCUCAACCCAGAGACGCCACCCGAUACUGCUUAACUUGAGUUCGAUAGGGGAGUGGGGAAUUCCUAGUGUAGCGGUGAAAUGCGCAGAUAUUAGGAGGAACACCGGUGGCGAAGGCGCCACUCUGGAUCGAUACUGACGCUGAGGAACGAAAGCAUGGGUAGGAAACAGGAUUAGAUACCCUGGUAGUCCAUGCGGUAAACGGUGGGCACUAGGUGUGGGAUUCUAUUAACGAAUUCCGCGCCGUCGCUAACGCAUUAAGUGCCCCGGCUGGGGAGUACGGUCGCAAGACUA
rnacentral:rRNA from 1 species